UCUUCCUAGACCAGGGCUCGAACUCGUGUCCCCUGAGUUGGCAGGCGGAUUCUUAACCACUGCACCACCAGGGAAGCCCCAAGUAUUUAAUAUAGUUUUACUUUUCUAUCUUUAAUGGAAGCCAACUCAUUAAUAUUGUCAAGAUUACUUUUUCACUUGUUUUUAAUUGAGGGAAUUACCAUGUUUGACAAUUUCUAAUGACCCUGUGAUAGUCUUAACUGAUUUUUAACUCACGUUCCUGAAAUGUCUUUCCCAGGACCUCACCUUGACUAUAAGGUUAGAAAGAAGAGUUGGUGUGUACGAGCAAUUGAGGACAUUUAGCAGGAAGGAAAAACCCUUUUGACUGCCUUCUGAUUUUCUCAACUCACACCCCCUUGGCUAUGGCAGGUACCCACAGCAGCUGGAUACAGGCUCCCACAGCCAGACACCUGCAUCACCAGGCUCACCGGGGCCUGCCACCCUCCUCACUGAGGACACCCAGGAUGAUGUUCUCCAGCCCUGUCUGCACCCUUAGCUGUCACCUGGCCCAGAACCACAGCCUGCCAAAGCAGGAGACCCUCACAGUCCUGCCCCUAACAGGGAGAAUCUUCUUUGUUUUCCUGCCUGAAGGACAAGGAGGUUUUCAGGUUCCAUCAGCACCAGCUGGCUGACAGCCAGUUCCCAAACGCUCAGGCCGCCUCAUUCUCCAUGAGACGAUACAGCACUUCUCCAUCGUCUUCAGCACAAAGAGCUGAAAUUCCUCAGUGGGCUUGAUCAACAGUGGGCAGAUCUGGAGACUAGUUUGGUGCAGGAGAUGGAGAGGAAAAGACCCUGCUGGGCAAUGAGGACUCCAGCCUGACUUUGAAGAACUUCCAAAGGACCAGGCUCGAUCUGAAAAGAAAGUCCACAGCUGCUGUGCCCAGGACAAUAUGAGAGUGGAAGUUAAGGCGUGAAAAUCAGAGUGUGCUUUCCCUGUAUGUUCAACCUCAGAGAACGCAGGAGUGGGAAAAGGAGACCUGGACCCAAUCUUCUACAAUGGAGUCUUCUCUGCUUAGAGGUGGCCUCUAGCGCGUCCAUAUUCACUCCCUUCAAUGACUUUUCUUCUGAUUCAGUUGUAAAUACAUCGAGUCACCUCAGCACAUUGUUUUUCAACAGAAAAAGAAAACAAUUGCCCUAAAUCAUGCAUAAAGCCAAAGGAAGAUAAGGAGAUGCCGAGCUAACAAAUUUACUGGUCACCUGAGAAGACAAGAGUAACCCACAAGAGAAGAUGCAGCAAAACUGUCAUUUUCAAACACUUUUACUGACACAACUAUGUUCAGCUUAUUACACUUAUCACUUUUAUUAACAACUCUGAGGACCAAUGAUGUCCCUAACAGUGUGCAGGUUACUGGGUGGGAAUAAGAAGUGUAGCUGGAGAGUGAGCUGAGUGCUACGGUACCUGAUGUAGAUGGAGAUCUCUUUCCUAAGCCUGAUAAGACUAUGCAGUUCCACUCCCAGGUUUGCUAAGAUCCUAUACUGCUCUGCCUCCCCUUUGGCCUCCUCUUGUCCCUGCUUGCUCAACCACAAACAUGGCCAGGAGUUCUGCAUCCCUGCUGCUCCAGUGCCUGUCCCAUGAGAAAGGAAAGGCGAAAAGUCCUCAGCUGUACACUUUCAUUAAGGCUAAAUUGAGAACUGGGGAGCUGAGCUGCUUUGCCCAGCCUUCAUCAGGACGCAAGAAGGCCUUGGAGUUAGAAGAAAGUUAUUCUCCAUCAAAAUAUUUGGGGUCCUCUGGUUUGUUCCAUUUCCUUCUGAACUUGAGACCUCAGGAAUGCCAAAUUCCAGUGCUGUUUUGGGGAAUAUGUGAAGUUUCUUGUCUCUGUUCCUAGAGGCUGAUUGGGACAUUUGGGAAUCUAUGUGCCUGUGUAACCCAAAACAUUCCAACCCACGGCUGUUUACAGAUCAGUAUCAUGAUGGAGAAGGGGAAGGACUGGGAAGUCCAGUUCCUGAGACUCGUUCUUUAAUGGAUUUUCUCAAUUUGUAAAGCCCCUCAGCAUUUGUCAAAUUCCUAUGCUUUUGUAUUUGCUUUGUGAAGGGCUGUAUUCAUCAUGACACAAAUGAAGGUGGCUGAGAUGGUAGAGGGUGUGCAAGGCCACUGUCAGACUCUCUCCCUAACCUUCCUCUGCCUCAAACACUCAAAGUCAGCUCUCAGUCAGAACUGGAGAACCUCUUCCUUUCCCUAAACCCAGUUCCUGGGCUACUGCAUCCUUCCCCCAAAUGCAGCAGAGACAAAAGAAAACACUCUUUUUUAGAAGAAACGAUUUACUUGUGAAGAAUGAACUUUGCUGUUUUUGAGAGAGACCAUUUUGUUUUCAGAAGAUGCCUUACCCCAAGGCUUCCUUCCAUAAUCUGUUCCCAGUGGGACUCCCUCGUGUCAACCUCUUGCUGGACUAGGACCCUGGAAUUCCACAGGGCCAGCUAGCAAGAGGGAUGCCUGAGAUGACAGAAGAUAUGAAUCACCUUUCUGAAGAGAGGGUGGGGCUGGUGUCACAUGAGUGCCUUUCAGGUGAGCUCUGCAAACCAAAAAUAGGAGCCUGGGUGUGUCUAGGGAGAGUGGAAGCAAAGAGAGAGUGGAACAUGCUGAGCAGACUGUUCUACUGGGAAGAGAUUCUUUCAAGAUUAAUGCCCAGGAAGUAGAAUUCGAGGUCAGAGGUUCAAUGACACUAAUAGUAAGGUCCAUGUGUGUAGAGCGGUGUCAUUUCAAAGCUCUUUCACACACAUUGCCCCAGGCAAUCAUCACAACAAUCCUGGGACUCUCCCAGACACAGACUAUGAAACUUAGGGAGGUUAAGUUGUCUAAGUCAUUACCCAAAAUUUUGCCCCCAAAACAGUCAUUGUUCCACCACGUCUCACACUGUCACUUGAUGGGUAAGCGCCAUGGCCCAGCUUUCACAUGGACGAGCAGAGCCUGGGUUAGAAGUGUCCCAGGUCCUGACUUCUUUGCUUUCUAGCUCUGAGUCUCUCCUCUGGGGGGGCCAUUAUUUUCUGAGAGUACAGGCUCUAGGAGGUGACAUUGCCAGCAAUUAUAGACCUGGGACUGUAUGGAGAAGAGAACUAAGAUCAAACCCGGGAGAGCCCAGGAUUAGAGAGCAGAACCUUACCUUUCAUAGCUCCUGCUUUUUUCUUCCUGCUUCUGCGUUGCUGCUGAAAGCCCCCAAAAUGAAAGAGUUCACAAGCUAUUUUGUGCCUUUCUCAUACUAAAGAAGCAACAAACAUUAUUAAUGAAAAAUGUGACUUUUUACAUUAUUUGAGGUCUCUGUUAUGUCCAUAUUAUUCAUUUUUAAAGUAGAUCCAAGUAUUUUCUACUGAUCCUUCUUUCUCAAAGAAUUUUUACUAAU